ACAGUUCGUAAGUGAUGGAGGCAGGAUUGGAACCCAGACAGUCUGUCCCAGCCUCUGUGGGCUUAAACAUCCUGCUUGACAUACAGAAGACUUCAGGAAACGUCUAGGGGAUGAGUGAAUCUCCCUUCAAGAGUGGCCACGAGCCCUUUGCAGAUAUACGCAUGGAUUAACUUGUCAAAAUUUUAUCAGAGGGAAAAAGAAGGAAGAGGAGAAAGAAGAGGAAAGUCAAUGUUGUCAUUGUCAUUUUACAGGCGACACGAGGCUUGGAGAUCCUGCUGUGUGUACGUCCAACCCAUCACCCCUGAGUGCUGCACAACAUCCUGAGGUGUGUUUCUGACCACCUUGCAUCUGGGGCAUCUCCCUCCUCGUGCGUAAAUGCCAGUGCGAGG